UUAGGCUACAAAAUCAAGAAUGUCUCCAAAGAAGUAUGUUUUUGGUUGUGAGAAAAAGAUAACAUUGUUCAGCUUCCCAAAGAACCCAUUGCUACG